rnacentral:rRNA from 1 species
GAUGAACGCUGGCGGCAUGCCUAAUACAUGCAAGUCGAACGAGAGGAAGGAAAGCUUGCUUUCCUGAAUCUAGUGGCGAACGGGUGAGUAACACGUAGGUAACCUGCCCAUGUGCCCGGGAUAACUUCUGGAAACGGAUGCUAAAACCGGAUAGGUAGCAGACAAGCAUUUGACUGCUAUUAAAGUGGCUAAGGCCAUGAACAUGGAUGGACCUGCGGUGCAUUAGCUAGUUGGUGAGGUAACGGCCCACCAAGGCGACGAUGCAUAGCCGGGCUGAGAGGGCGGACGGCCACAUUGGGACUGAGACACGGCCCAAACUCCUACGGGAGGCAGCAGUAGGGAAUUUUCGUCAAUGGGGGGAACCCUGAACGAGCAAUGCCGCGUGAGUGAGGAAGGUCUUCGGAUCGUAAAGCUCUGUUGUAGGAGAAAAACGGCACUCAUAGGGAAUGAUGAGUGAGUGAUGGUAUCUUACCAGAAAGUCACGGCUAACUACGUGCCAGCAGCCGCCGUAAGAC